rnacentral:rRNA from 1 species
GAUGAACGCUGGCGGCGUGCCUAAUACAUGCAAGUCGAGCGAACAGACGCUGAGCUUGCUCCUCUGACGUUAGCGGCGGACGGGUGAGUAACACGUGGAUAACCUACCUAUAAGACUGGGAUCACUUCGGGAAACCGGAGCUAAUCCCGGAUAAUAUCUUGAACCGCAUGGUUCAAUAGUGAAAUACGGUUUUGCUGGCUCUUCUAGAUGCAUCCGGGCCGCAUUAGCUAGUAGUUACGGUAACGGCUUACCAAGGCAACGAUGCGUAGCCGACGGGCGAGGGUGAUAGCCCGCCCUGGAGCUGAGACGCGGACAAGACUCCUAAGGGAGGCAGCAGUAGGGAAUCUGAGGCAAUGGGCGAAAGUCUGACGGAGCAACGCGACGUGAGAGACGAAGGUCUUCGGAUCGUAAAACUCUGUUAUUAGGGAAGAACAAAUGUGUAAGUAACUAUGCACGUCUUGACGGUACCUAAUAAGAAAGCCACGGCUAACUACGUG